UGCAACUUACAGGUGUUGGUCAUAUAAUUAGAAUAUCAUGAAAAAGUUGAUUUAUGUCAGUAAUUCCAUUCAAAAAGUGAAAUUUGUACAAUGCAGACAUUCA